CGUGGGGCCGGGCUUACCCCAUGCCAGUCGAGGGGUAUGCUUCUUCGGAAGCAGAGACCGGCGCACGGGUGCGUAACGCGUAUGCAAUCUACCUUUCACAAAGGGAUAGCCCAGAGAAAUUUGGAUUAAUACCUUAUAGUAAUACGACUUGGCAUCAAGAUGUAUUUAAAGAUUUAUCGGUGAAAGAUGAGCAUGCGUCCCAUUAGCUAGUUGGUAUGGUAACGGCAUACCAAGGCUACGAUGGGUAGGGGUCCUGAGAGGGAGAUCCCCCACACUGGUACUGAGACACGGACCAGACUCCUACGGGAGGCAGCAGUGAGGAAUAUUGGACAAUGGGCGCAAGCCUGAUCCAGCCAUGCCGCGUGCAGGAUGACGGUCCUAUGGAUUGUAAACUGCUUUUGUACAGGAAGAAACCCUUUCACGUGUGGAAGAUUGACGGUACUGUAAGAAUAAGGAUCGGCUAACUCCGUGCCAGCAGCCGCGGUAAUACGGAGGAUCCAAGCGUUAUCCGGAAUCAUUGGGUUUAAAGGGUCCGUAGGCGGUCAGAUAAGUCAGUGGUGAAAGCCCAUCGCUCAACGGUGGAACGGCCAUUGAUACUGUCUGACUUGAAUUAUUAGGAAGUAACUAGAAUAUGUAGUGUAGCGGUGAAAUGCUUAGAGAUUACAUGGAAUACCAAUUGCGAAGGCAGGUUACUACUAAUGGAUUGACGCUGAUGGACGAAAGCGUGGGUAGCGAACAGGAUUAGAUACCCUGGUAGUCCACGCCGUAAACGAUGGAUACUAGCUGUUGGGAGCAAUCUCAGUGGCUAAGCGAAAGUGAUAAGUAUCCCACCUGGGGAGUACGUUCGCAAGAAUGAAACUCAAAGGAAUUGACGGGGGCCCGCACAAGCGGUGGAGCAUGUGGUUUAAUUCGAUGAUACGCGAGGAACCUUACCAAGGCUUAAAUGUAGAUUGACCGGUUUGGAAACAGACUUUUCGCAAGACAAUUUACAAGGUGCUGCAUGGUUGUCGUCAGCUCGUGCCGUGAGGUGUCAGGUUAAGUCCUAUAACGAGCGCAACCCCUGUCGUUAGUUGCCAGCGAGUCAUGUCGGGAACUCUAACGAGACUGCCAGUGCAAACUGAAAGGAAGGUGGGGAUGACGUCAAAUCAUCACGGCCCUUACGCCUUGGGCUACACACGUGCUACAAUGGCCGGUACAAAA
rnacentral:rRNA from 1 species